rnacentral:rRNA from 1 species
GGUUAAGCGACUAAGCGUACACGGUGGAUGCCCUGGCAGUCAGAGGCGAUGAAGGACGUGCUAAUCUGCGAAAAGCGUCGGUAAGGUGAUAUGAACCGUUAUAACCGGCGAUGUCCGAAUGGGGAAACCCAGUGUGAUUCGUCACACUAUCGUUAACUGAAUACAUAGGUUAACGAGGCGAACCGGGGGAACUGAAACAUCUAAGUACCCCGAGGAAAAGAAAUCAACCGAGAUUCCCCCAGUAGCGGCGAGCGAACGGGGAGCAGCCCAGAGUCUGAAUCAGCUUGUGUGUUAGUGGAACGGUCUGGAAAGUCCGACGGUACAGGGUGAUAGUCCCGUACACCAAAAUGCACAGGCUGUGAACUCGAAGAGUAGGGCGGGACACGUGGUAUCCUGUCUGAAUAUGGGGGGACCAUCCUCCAAGGCUAAAUACUCCUGACUGACCGAUAGUGAACCAGUACCGUGAGGGAAAGGCGAAAAGAACCCCGGCGAGGGGAGUGAAAAAGAACCUGAAACCGUGUACGUACAAGCAGUGGGAGCACCUUCGGGUGUGACUGCGUACCUUUUGUAUAAUGGGUCAGCGACUUAUAUUCUGUAGCAAGGUUAACCGUAUAGGGGAGCCGCAGGGAAACCGAGUCUUAACUGGGCGUUAAGUUGCAGGGUAUAGACCCGAAACCCGGUGAUCUAGCCAUGGGCAGGUUGAAGGUUGGGUAACACUAACUGGAGGACCGAACCGACUAAUGUUGAAAAAUUAGCGGAUGACUUGUGGCUGGGGGUGAAAGGCCAAUCAAACCGGGAGAUAGCUGGUUCUCCCCGAAAGCUAUUUAGGUAGCGCCUCGUGAACUCAUCUUCGGGGGUAGAGCACUGUUUCGGCUAGGGGGUCAUCCCGACUUACCAACCCGAUGCAAACUACGAAUACCGAAGAAUGUUAUCACGGGAGACACACGGCGGGUGCUAACGUCCGUCGUGAAGAGGGAAACAACCCAGACCGCCAGCUAAGGUCCCAAAGUCAUGGUUAAGUGGGAAACGAUGUGGGAAGGCACAGACAGCCAGGAUGUUGGCUUAGAAGCAGCCAUCAUUUAAAGAAAGCGUAAUAGCUCACUGGUCGAGUCGGCCUGCGCGGAAGAUGUAACGGGGCUAAACCAUGCACCGAAGCUGCGGCAGCGACACUAUGUGUUGUUGGGUAGGGGAGCGUUCUGUAAGCCUGCGAAGGUGUGCUGUGAGGCAUGCUGGAGGUAUCAGAAGUGCGAAUGCUGACAUAAGUAACGAUAAAGCGGGUGAAAAGCCCGCUCGCCGGAAGACCAAGGGUUCCUGUCCAACGUUAAUCGGGGCAGGGUGAGUCGACCCCUAAGGCGAGGCCGAAAGGCGUAGUCGAUGGGAAACAGGUUAAUAUUCCUGUACUUGGUGUUACUGCGAAGGGGGGACGGAGAAGGCUAUGUUAGCCGGGCGACGGUUGUCCCGGUUUAAGCAUGUAGGCUGGUUGUCCAGGCAAAUCCGGAUAAUCAAGGCUGAGGUGUGAUGACGAGGCACUACGGUGCUGAAGUAACAAAUGCCCUGCUUCCAGGAAAAGCCUCUAAGCAUCAGGUAACAUUAAAUCGUACCCCAAACCGACACAGGUGGUCAGGUAGAGAAUACCAAGGCGCUUGAGAGAACUCGGGUGAAGGAACUAGGCAAAAUGGUGCCGUAACUUCGGGAGAAGGCACGCUGGUGUGUAGGUGAAGUCCCUGCGGAUGGAGCUGAGACCAGUCGAAGAUACCAGCUGGCUGCAACUGUUUAUUAAAAACACAGCACUGUGCAAACACGAAAGUGGACGUAUACGGUGUGACGCCUGCCCGGUGCCGGAAGGUUAAUUGAUGGGGUUAUCCGUAAGGAGAAGCUCUUGAUCGAAGCCCCGGUAAACGGCGGCCGUAACUAUAACGGUCCUAAGGUAGCGAAAUUCCUUGUCGGGUAAGUUCCGACCUGCACGAAUGGCGUAAUGAUGGCCAGGCUGUCUCCACCCGAGACUCAGUGAAAUUGAACUCGCUGUGAAGAUGCAGUGUACCCGCGGCAAGACGGAAAGACCCCGUGAACCUUUACUAUAGCUUGACACUGAACAUUGAGCCUUGAUGUGUAGGAUAGGUGGGAGGCUUUGAAGCGUGGACGCCAGUCUGCGUGGAGCCAACCUUGAAAUACCACCCUUUAAUGUUUGAUGUUCUAACGUUGGCCCCUUACCGGGGUUGCGGACAGUGUCUGGUGGGUAGUUUGACUGGGGCGGUCUCCUCCCAAAGCGUAACGGAGGAGCACGAAGGUUAGCUAAUCCUGGUCGGACAUCAGGAGGUUAGUGCAAUGGCAUAAGCUAGCUUGACUGCGAGCGUGACGGCGCGAGCAGGUGCGAAAGCAGGUCAUAGUGAUCCGGUGGUUCUGAAUGGAAGGGCCAUCGCUCAACGGAUAAAAGGUACUCCGGGGAUAACAGGCUGAUACCGCCCAAGAGUUCAUAUCGACGGCGGUGUUUGGCACCUCGAUGUCGGCUCAUCACAUCCUGGGGCUGAAGUAGGUCCCAAGGGUAUGGCUGUUCGCCAUUUAAAGUGGUACGCGAGCUGGGUUUAGAACGUCGUGAGACAGUUCGGUCCCUAUCUGCCGUGGGCGCUGGAGAAUUGAGGGGGGCUGCUCCUAGUACGAGAGGACCGGAGUGGACGCAUCACUGGUGUUCGGGUUGUCAUGCCAAUGGCACUGCCCGGUAGCUAAAUGCGGAAGAGAUAAGUGCUGAAAGCAUCUAAGCACGAAACUUGCCCCGAGAUGAGUUCUCCCUGAGACUUUAAGUCUCCUGAAGGAACGUUGAAGACGACGACGUUGAUAGGCCGGGUGUGUAAGCGCAGCGAUGCGUUGAGCUAACCGGUACUAAUGAACCGUGAGGCUUAACCUU